rnacentral:misc_RNA from 1 species
UACAGAGGGUGCAAGCGUUAAUCGGAAUUACUGGGCGUAAAGGGCGCGUAGGCGGGCGAAUAAGUUAGAUGUGAAAUCCCUGGGCUCAACCUAGGAAUGGCAUUUAAAACUGUUGGUCUGGAGUAUAGGAGAGGAGAGUGGAAUUCACGGUGUAGCGGUGAAAUGCGUAGAUAUCGUGAAGAACAUCGAUGGCGAAGGCGGCUCUCUGGCCUAAUACUGACGCUGAGGCGCGAAAGCGUGGGGAGCGAACAGG